CUCAGACUGAAUUACCCCACCAGCUUUCUUGAUUUUCCAGCUUGCAGGUGGCAGAUAAUGAGACUUCUCAGCCUCCAUAAUCAUACGAACAAGCAAAGACCCCACAAGGCUAAUUUUCAGAGCUAGUAAAUGAGAGAAGAGAAUACAAGGAAAAUGAAGAAAGACAAAAUAUUAGCAUCUCUGACAUUUACAGAAUAGAUGGGAGAGAAGAACCUGGAGGAAAGCUGUAAAGGGUACAUCAGAGAG
rnacentral:lncRNA from 1 species